UUGAACUUAGUCAAGUAAGCGAUCAACACACGUAUUGAACUUCUUGUUCAUCCUUCAGUGAAGACUGCCCAGACACGCAGACAGACAGGAAGUGAUCUCUGUGCAAGGAAGCAAAGUCACGCCUCUUAAUCAUGUCGUCCCUGAGUUCCACUCUCUGGGUUCGGGUGUGUAUGCUGGAAAAAAAAUUCAGUUUCAUGCCUUGGUCUUCUCAGCCAUAAACACACGGGCCUCACCAUCGGUGGUGUGGACUCUGGUCGGUGAUGUGACAUACACACAGCACUGGAAAUAACACCGUGUCACAGCAACGCAGGGUUGAUCUCGGCGCUGCUCCGUCCCGGUGCUCUGCAUGGCCACGGAUUCUAAGGUGGAGAAGCUGAGGCUCAGAGGAUUGGACUGGAAGAUCAGCGUUGCCUGGAAAGCAGGUGCUGGAGCAGCGAGUUACAGCGUCGCCUUGACCUGCCCUGGGCAGGUGGCUUCACCCACCCGCUCGCACCCACUGUCUGGACUUCAUUUCAUCUUUCAGAUGAGAGCCCAAUCUCUCUGUCAUCAAGGCCAGUCUAGAACGCCCACGAUGCUCCUCCCCUUUUAAACUAUGAUCCACCAACUACCACAAAUUCCCUGCGAUCUUUGUCCACUUGUUUUACGUCCCUGCUGUGAACAAAUGUGAGGAUUCAGAUUUUAACUCCUUUUUGGAAAAACAGUACAAUAUUUGCACUUCAGUGAGAAUUAUGCUCCUAGUCCCCUGCCUUGCACAGCACUGUCAGUUCCCAUGUGGGGAUCUGCUCUGGGCACCAGGGCCGCCAGCAGGGCUGGGGUGGUGAGCUCCCCCACUGCCCGCCCUGCCGCUGCGGAAACAGAAGCUCUCCGCACAUGCUGGCUGCUCUGUAGAUUCCUGCAGGUAUUUUCCAGAGCAAAGCUUUAUGGAGUCAGGAGUCUUCACCCCCUUUUGUGAGGUGUGUAGCAUUUGUUAGACAUGUGGCCUUUGCUAUAUUAGUGGCCUGAUUAACUCUUUAAGCAUGUCCAGAAGACUCAACCUAUUCCUUCCCAAUAAAGCAUUUGAAUCAAUUUGGUCGUUUGGG